UCCUUGGUAGUCCAGUGGCUAAGACUCUGGGCUUCCAAUGCAAGGAGCCCAGGUUCCAUCCCUGGUCAAGGAA
rnacentral:tRNA from 1 species